rnacentral:rRNA from 1 species
AUUGAACGCUGGCGGCAGGCUUAACACAUGCAAGUCGAACGAGUGGCGGACGGGUGAGUAAUGUCUGGGAAACUGCCUGAUGGAGGGGGAUAACUCCUGGAAACGGUAGCUAAUACCGCAUACUCACAGAUCUGCCCAUAUGGGAUUAGCUUGUUGGUGGGGUAACGGCUCACCAAGGCGCCGCUCCCUAGCUGGUCUGAGAGGAUGACCAGCCACACUGGAACUGAGACACGGUCCAGACUCCUACGGGAGGCAGAAGUGGGGAAUCUUGCACAAUGGGGGAAAGCCUGAUGCAGCCAUGCCGCGUGUAUGAUGAAGGCCUUCGGGUUGUAAAGUACUUUCGGCGGGGAGGCGUUACCCGCAGAAGAAGCACCGGCUAACUCCGUGCCAGCAGCCGCGGUAAUAC